rnacentral:rRNA from 1 species
AGCACAUGCCGCCAAAUGGCUAAGCCGCGAACGGCUCAUUAAAUCAGCUAUGGUCCCUUAGAUCUUCGGCCGCGUCCUCGGACGUGGCGUUUGGAUAACUGUGGUAAUUCUAGAGCUAAUACAUGCCUUCGCCAUCGGGGCCCGCAAGGGUCGCGGUGUCUUUAUCCCGUCAAGACCAGUCGGCUUCGGCCGUCCUCUUUGAUGAACUCUGGAUAACUCCACUUGACCGCAUGGCCUUGCGCCGGCGGCUGAUCUAAUAAAUGUCUGCCUUAUCAACUGUCGACGGUAGGAGCCCGGCCUACCGUGGUGAUAACGGGUAGCGGGGAAUAAGGGUUCUAUACCGGAGAGGGAGCAUGAGAAACGGCUACCACAUCCAAGGAAGGCAGCAGGCACGCAAAUUACCCACUCCCGGCACGGGGAGGUAGUGACGAUCAAUAACGAUGCGGGACUCUGACGAGGCUCCGUAAUCGGAAUGGGCGUACUUUAAAUCCUUCGACGAGGAUCAAGUGGAGGGCAAGUCUGGUGCCAGCAGCCGCGGUAAUUCCAGCUCCACUAGCGUAUAUUAAAGUUGCUGCAGUUAAAAAGCUCGUAGUCGGAUCUCGGGAUCGUAUCUCGUCGGUGUCGUUGGGUCAUGCCUCGAAAGGGGUUGUGGUCUUUCGGCGUCUUCGGGGUCUCAUCCGGAGGGUCUCUGGCUUCACGCCGGGGUUUCACCUUCCGCGAUGGCCCGCCGUCGCGUUUGGGUGGGUGUCCUUAAUUGGAUGCCCGCCGUCGAACGUGACCAUUUUACCUUGAACAAAUCGGAGUGCUCAACGCAAGCUCCACCACGCUCGAACGGUAGCGCAUGGAAUAAUGGAAGAGGACCAGCUUCCGCUUCUAUUGGUCUCACGGAGGCAGGUAAUGAUCAAGAGGAACGGAUGGGGGCAGAGGUAUGGCUCGGCGAGAGGUGAAAUUCUUGGACCCUAGCCAGACCCUCGAGAGCGAAAGCAUCUGCCAAAGAUGUUUUCAUUGAUCAAGAACGAAAGUCGUGGGAUCGAACUGGAUUAGAUACCCAGGUAGUCACGACCGUAAACGAUGCCAACCGGGAAUUCGACGGCGUUACUUCCAUGACCCGUCGAGCGCCCGACCCGGGAAACCGAGAGUCUUUGGGUUCCGGGGGGAGUAUGGUUGCAAAGCUGAAACUUAAAGGAAUCGACGGAAGGGCACCACCAGGAGGAGCUCGUUAAAACACGGGGAACCUCACCCGGGCCCGGACACCGCGAGGAUUGACAGACUGAGAGCUCUUUCUCGAUUCGGUAGGUGGUGGUGCAUGGCCGUUCAUAGUUGGUGGAGCGAUCUGUCUGGUUAAUUCCGAUAACGAACGAGACCUCGUCCUACUAAAUAGCCCUCGGGUCCGACUUCUGUCGGGCCCGACGGAACGUUUGCUUCUUAGAGGGACUCGCGGGGUUUACCCGCAUGAAAAGAGGCGAUAACAGGUCUGUGAUGCCCUUAGAUGUUCGGGGCUGCACGCGCGCUACACUGAAGGCAUCAGCGUGCGCUUUGUCCGUUCCCUGCCUGAAAAGGCCGGGUAACCCGCUGAACCGCCUUCGUGCCUGGGAUAGGGAUUUGCAAUUAUCUCCCUUGAACGUGGAAUUCCCAGUAGGCGCGAGUCAUCAGCUCGCGUCGAUUACGUCCCUGCCCUUUGUACACACCGCCCGUCGCUACUACCGAUCGAACGAUUUUGGGAGGUAUCUGGACUGGCAUCUGCCUGGAAGCCAUCCUUCGGGAUGUGUCGAGAGGUGUGUUUGCCGGGAAAGGGAUCAAGCAUGGUCGUUUAGAGGAAGUAAAAGUCGUAACAAGGUUUCUGUAGGUGAACCUGC